GCAAGGAAGGUUCAUCCAGACAAAAACCCUGGAGAUCCUCAAGCUGCUAAAAACUUUCAGGUAUUAGGGGAGGCUUAUCAGGUUUUGAGCGAUCCGGAGAAGCGAGCAGCCUAUGACAAAUAUGGCAAAGAAGGUGUCCAACAGGAUGCAAUGGUAGAUCCUGCAGCUGUAUUUGGUAUGCUUUUCGGAAGCGAAGUCUUUGAAGAAUAUGUAGGGCAGCUUGCACUUGCUUAUUUGGCAUCAAUCGAAGCUGACUUAGAAACAUAUGAGCCUGAUAUCAAAAAACAAAUUCUUCAAGACAAG